GGGGCCUUAGCUCAGCUGGUAGAGCGCCUGCUUUGCAAGCAGGAUGUCAGGAGUUCGAAUCUCCUAGGCUCCA
rfam:Microbacterium sp. T32 contig_32, whole genome shotgun sequence.